rnacentral:lncRNA from 1 species
ACUAACAACAAUUAUUAUUGAUUAACUGUGACGCUCUUACAGGAUCUGCCUUUAUGAGAUAAUAUUACCAAGGAAAGCAUUUCAAAUAGGAUGCAUCCAGUGAGUUAGAGAAAAAAAUAUAAAGAGGAAUCAAACAGAAACAUGUCCAUAUCUUCUGCAGAAAACAACAACUGCAGCAACACACAACAUUAGAUAACACGAGGAAUGGAAAUUAAGAUUAUUGCAUUCAGGUGGAUUAUAGUUAAUGUAAUCAAUUAUUUAGAUAAAUAGACUUAAUUACCCAAACUGAACUUUCUAUAAUGUAAGGUCAUUCUUACUAAGCCUGUUAUAUCUAUGGCGUCUGUGAUCUGGAAGAAUGACUUGGAGACACGAAAACCAACAAGUUGUAGAGCAGCCAAAAUCAUCAUUGCUUGUAAAGAUGUGAUGCACAUUGAAUCUGAGCAGCAGCAACAGCAGCAGAAGGGAGAAGGACACACUAAAAAGCUGGGUAGAAGAGAAUCUCCACUGUCUGCAAGGAACAAUUGCAAGGCCAUAGCAAUUUUGAUCUUCUGCUACCAGCCUUUGGUAUAAGGCAAUCCACAGGGACUCUCAAGGACAGCAAUGAACACGAUGCUCUCCACAGCCUUCCAGCAGGCAGAGUGGCAGUCAAAACAUGCAUUAUGUCCUCCUGAGCUACUGCUGAGCUGCUUGGACAUGAGGCACGUGUGCACCCUGUCCAUGGGCUUCAGCUCCACGCUCCCAGAUUCACUGCCUCAACAUGCAGCAAGCCUGGCUUGAGAGGAGGUUCACAGGGCUGUCCUGGUGCUCAGUGUGACCCUGUUGCAGAAGUCCCCUAUCUCCUUAUCUUACCCUUGCUUGGUUUUUACAAACCUCCAGCGAAAGCCACAUAGACUGAAAGCCACAUAGACUACAAAAUAUGUACCUGGCGAAACUGCAAAAAUAAAUAAAUAAAUCCAUUAUUGACA